AGAACGCUGAAGCUUGGUGCUUGCACCGAGCGGAUGAGUUGCGAACGGGUGAGUAACGCGUAGGUAACCUGCCUGGUAGCGGGGGAUAACUAUUGGAAACGAUAGCUAAUACCGCAUAACAGUCGACAUUGCAUGAUGUUGAUUUGAAAGGGGCAAUUGCUCCACUACCAGAUGGACCUGCGUUGUAUUAGCUAGUUGGUGAGGUAACGGCUCACCAAGGCGACGAUACAUAGCCGACCUGAGAGGGUGAUCGGCCACACUGGGACUGAGACACGGCUCAGACUCCUACGGGAGGCAGCAGUAGGGAAUCUUCGGCAAUGGACGGAAGUCUGACCGAGCAACGCCGCGUGAGUGAAGAAGGUUUUCGGAUCGUAAAGCUCUGUUGUAAGAGAAGAACGAGUGUGAGAGUGGAAAGUUCACACUGUGACGGUAACUUACCAGAAAGGGACGGCUAACUACGUGCCAGCAGCCGCGGUAAUACGUAGGUCCCGAGCGUUAUCCGGAUUUAUUGGGCGUAAAGCGAGCGCAGGCGGUUAGAUAAGUCUGAAGUUAAAGGCUGUGGCUUAACCAUAGUACGCUUUGGAAACUGUUUAACUUGAGUGCAGAAGGGGAGAGUGGAAUUCCAUGUGUAGCGGUGAAAUGCGUAGAUAUAUGGAGGAACACCGGUGGCGAAAGCGGCUCUCUGGUCUGUAAC
rnacentral:rRNA from 1 species